UGUUAAACAUUUCAUCCAUUCCUAUUGUUAAAAACUGGUCUAGUUGAUAGAAUAACUAAACAGUUGCGCGUAAUGUGCCAUGUAUAACUCAUUCUAACAUAUAGAGUUUGGUCUUUAGCAGUAAAAAUGAAUGAUUAGUUUGCUU
rnacentral:pre_miRNA from 1 species